UUUGGAGUGGGUGGAAGUGCAGAAACCAUUGAUUGGUCAAAGAACGCAGGAUGAAGACACGGGACAGGCAGAUGAAGAAGCUGUAGUCUCAUGCUGAUCCUUCUGUAUGAGGCAUAUCUGAGGCACAGAGAGGUUAAGUUGGGGACUGAAGUGUGGCUCCAGAAUCUAAGUUUCUAACUGCCAUGCUAUGACUGACCCCACUGGACUCAUGACUCAUGGACUCAGCUGGUCCUGUGGCCCUACCCAGAAGUGGACUCAGCACACGAGGACCAUUUCCCACACUCCUGUGAUUUCAUCCCCAAUUAUUCAGCAGUACCCUUUCCAUAGCCCCUUGCCCACCAAGUUGUCCAUAAAAACCCUAGCCUCUGAGCUUUUGGGGAGAUGGAGUUGAGUAAUAACUCCAUCUACUGCAUGGCUGGCCUUGUGUCAAUUAAACUUUUUUCUUUACUGCAAUAACAUGGUCUCAGUGAACUGAUUUUGUUCAUGCAGGAGGCAGGAAAAGCCCCUUGGGUGAUUACACAGUGGUUCUCAAAGUAUGGACCUCCAACCAGCAGCAUCAGCAGCAUCUGGAUACUUGCUAGAAAUGGAAAUUCUCUGGCCCUAUUCCAGGCCUUCCAAGUUGGAAACUUUGUGAUGGGGCCCAGCACUCUGUGUUUUAACAAGCCCUCUAGCCUUAAGGAAAACAACUCUGAGGACUUUUGUCACGGACUUGAAAUUCUCAUCUGUGCUUGGACAAGACUCUGAAACAUACCAACUGUGUAUUUUCCUGCCUUUGGUAAAUCUGGAGCUAUUAACUGAUUCUAAAGAACAUUUGACUUAAAAAGACUAUGGAAAGCCCAAAGAAUAAAGGGACACUUGUCACUGGAUUGAAGGCAUAUUCUAAUUUAGGACAAUGUCUUGAGAUCUUUAACUUAACUACAUUUGCAAAGACCCAAUUUCCAAGUAACUGGAACAUUCUAGAUAAUGAAGACCCCAGUGGAUUAUUAUUAGCAAAUGAAAACUGGAUAUCAAGAAGGGCAAAAUCUUCAACCUUAUCAGCAGAAAGAGUUUAUGUAAAAAUAUACCACAUAGAAUAACUAAAAAAAUAAGCAAGUGAUACCUUAUCUGAGCUCAAAAUAUCUGUUUCUUUGCAAAUGGAUAAAGGAUUUAUUAUAUUAUAGCACCUUGAGGACAGAGACUUUAUGUUUCUAACUACCCAUCCCAGCAUCAUCUAGUUCAUUCCUAUGCUGAACAGCCCCUAACACAUUGCCUAAAUAAAUACUAACAUUA
rnacentral:lncRNA from 1 species